rnacentral:misc_RNA from 1 species
UCACUACUUGCGUAGGCAGUCUGGCUAGAGUCCACGCCCUAAACUAUGUCAACUGGUUGUCGGGGAAGCAAUUCCUUGGUAACGAAGCUAACGCGUGAAGUUGACCGCCUGGGGAGUACGGCCGCAAGGUUAAAACUCAAAGGAAUUGACGGGGACCCGCACAAGCGGUGGAUUAUGUGGAUUAAUUCGAUGCAACGCGAAAAACCUUACCUACCCUUGACAUGUACGGAAGCCUCCAGAGAUGGAGGUGUGCCCGAAAGGGAGCCGUAACACAGGUGCUGCAUGGCUGUCGCCAGCUCGUGUCGUGAGAUGUUGGGUUAAGUCCCGCAACGAGCGCAACCCUUGCCAUUAGUUGCUACAUUCAGUUGAGCACUCUAAUGGGACUGCCGGUGACAAACCG